rnacentral:rRNA from 15 species
CCGCGACCCCAGGUCAGGCGGGACCACCCGCUGAGU